rnacentral:rRNA from 1 species
AGCCUGAUCCAGCCAUUCCGCGUGAGUGAAGAAGGCCUUCGGGUUGUAAAGCUCUUUCGCAAGGGAAGAAAACUUACACAAUAACACUGUGUGAGGCUGACGGUACCUUGAUAAGAAGCACCGGCUAACUACGUGCCAGCAGCCGCGGUAAUACGUAGGGUGCGAGCGUUAAUCGGAAUUACUGGGCGUAAAGCGUGCGCAGGCGGUUUUGUAAGUCAGAUGUGAAAUCCCCGAGCUCAACUUGGGAACUGCGUUUGAAACUACAAGACUAGAAUAUGUCAGAGGGGGGUAGAAUUCCACGUGUAGCAGUGAAAUGCGUAGAGAUGUGGAGGAAUACCAAUGGCGAAGGCAGCCCCCUGGGAUAAUAUUGACGCUCAUGCACGAAAGCGUGGGGAGCAAACAGGAUUAGAUACCCUGGUAGUCCACGCCCUAAACGAUGUCUACUAGUUGUUGGUGGAGUAAAAUCCAUGAGUAACGCAGCUAACGCGUGAAGUAGACCGCCUGGGGAGUACGGUCGC